rnacentral:rRNA from 1 species
UACGGGGGGGGCAAGCGUUGUUCGGAAUUACUGGGCGUAAAGGGCUCGUAGGCGGCCAACUAAGUCAGACGUGAAAUCCCCAGGCUUAACCUGGGAACUGCGUCUGAUACUGGAUGGCUUGAAUUCGGGAGAGGGAUGCAGAAUUCCAGGUGUAGCGGUGAAAUGCGUAGAUAUCUGGAGGAAUACCGGUGGCGAAGGCGGUUCUCUGGGCCUGUUCUGACGCUGAGGAGCGAAAGCGUGGGGAGCAAACAGG